rnacentral:rRNA from 1 species
AUUGAACGCUGGCGGAAUGCUUUACACAUGCAAGUCGAACGGUAGAGGGGGCAACCCCUUGAGAGUGGCGAACGGGUGAGUAAUAUAUCGGAACGUGCCCAGUCGUGGGGAUAACGUAGCGAAAGUUACGCUAAUACCGCAUACGAUCUAAGGAUGAAAGCGGGGGACUCGCAAGAGCCUCGCGCGAUUGGAGCGGCCGAUAUCAGAUUAGGUAGUUGGUGGGGUAAAGGCUCACCAAGCCAACGAUCUGUAGCUGGUCUGAGAGGACGACCAGCCACACUGGACGUGAGACACGGCCCGAGACUCCUACGGGAGGCAGCAGUGGGGAAGUUUU